GUUUUUUCCUCUCUGUUUCAUGGAUGUCUGUGAAGAGUAAGGAUUUCAGGUGAGAAUACUGGAUCAGGAAACCAUUUUCCAUUUCAGGAAUGCAAAAUACAUCACUCUGGUGACUUCAUUCACACAACCAGGUGGCAUUAUGAAUUGCACCUUUCCAGAAACCCCAAGUUGAAAACAAGACAUGAAUCUUGAUAAUCUCCUGUUCACUUCUGGACGACAACUGGAGAACUGAUGCCUCUGGAGAACAAACAGCACAAGAACUACGAUCUGACAAUACGAGCAAACUUAACUGAAAAUGAUUCAGAUGGUGAUGAGAAGGCAUCAGGAGCAAAAUAUAUCAGCUCAUCAUCAGUAAGACCAAAGAAUUGAUUAUGGACUUCAGGAAGGGUAGGACGAGGGAAAACACACCUGUCUUCAUAGAGGGAUCAGAAGUGAAGAAAGUGAGCAAUUUCAAGUUCCUGGUCGUCAAUAUCUCUAAGGAUCAAACUGGGCCCAACAUAUCGAUGCAGUUACAACAAAGGUAUGACAGCAGAUAUAUUCCAUUAGGAAUUUGAGAACUGGUAUGUCACCAAAACACUCACAUAUUUCUACAGAUCUAUCAUGGAAAGCAU